rnacentral:rRNA from 1 species
GACGAACGCUGGCGGCGUGCUUAACACAUGCAAGUCGAACGGAAAGGCCCUGCUUUUGUGGGGUGCUCGAGUGGCGAACGGGUGAGUAACACUUGAGUAACCUGCCCUUGACUUUGGGAUAACUUCAGGAAACUGGGGCUAAUACCUGAUAGGAGCUCCUGCUGCAUGGUGGGGGUUGGAAAGUUUCGGCUGUGGGGGAUGGACUCGCGGCUUAUCAGCUUGUUGGUGGGGUAGUGGCUUACCAAGGCUUUGACGGGUAGCCGGCCUGAGAGGGUGACCGGCCACAUUGGGACUGAGAUACGGGCCAGACUCCUACGGGAGGCAGCAGUGGGGAAUAUUGCACAAUGGGCGGAAGCCUGAUGCAGCAACGCCGCGUGCGGGAUGACGGCCUUCGGGUUGUAAACCGCUUUCGCCUGUGACGAAGCGUGAGUGACGGUAAUGGGUAAAGAAGCACCGGCUAACUACGUG